rnacentral:rRNA from 1 species
UGGGGAAUAUUGCACAAUGGGGGAAACCCUGAUGCAGCAACGCCGCGUGAAGGACGAAUGCCUUCGGGUUGUAAACUUCAACAAGCAGGGAAGAAAAAAAUGACGGUACCUGACUGGAAGCCACGGCUAACUACGUGCCAGCAGCCGCGGUAAUACGUAGGUGGCAAGCGUUGUCCGGAUUUACUGGGUGUAAAGGGCGUGUAGGCGGGCGCUUAAGUCAGUGGUGAAAUACCGGAGCUUAACUCCGGGGCUGCCAUUGAAACUGGGCGUCUUGAGUGCAGGAGAGGAAAGCGGAAUUCCUAGUGUAGCGGUGAAAUGCGUAGAUAUUAGGAGGAACACCAGUGGCGAAGGCGGCUUUCUGGACUGUAACUGACGCUGAGGCGCGAAAGCGUGGGUAGCAAACA